ACUCCUACGGGAGGCAGCAGUGGGGAAUAUUGCACAAUGGGGGAAACCCUGAUGCAGCCAUGCCGCGUGUGUGAAGAAGGCCUUCGGGUUGUAAAGCACUUUCAGUAGGGAGGAAGGUGUGUUGUUAAUAGCAGCAUCAUUUGACGUUAGCGCAGAAGAAGCACCGGCUAACUCCGUGCCAGCAGCCGCGGUAAUACGGAGGGUGCGAGCGUUAAUCGGAAUUACUGGGCGUAAAGCGCAUGCAGGCGGCCUGUUAAGUCAGAUGUGAAAGCCCGGGGCUUAACCUCGGAA
rnacentral:rRNA from 1 species